rnacentral:rRNA from 1 species
GGCAUAUCAAUAAGCGGAGGAAAAGAAACCAACAGGGAUUGCCUUAGUAGCGGCGAGUGAAGCGGCAAAAGCUCAAAUUUGAAAUCUGGCACUUUCAGUGUCCGAGUUGUAAUUUGAAGAAGGUAUCUUUGGGUCUGGCUCUUGUCUAUGUUUCUUGGAACAGAACGUCACAGAGGGUGAGAAUCCCGUGCGAUGAGAUGACCCAGACCUAUGUAAAGUUCCUUCGAAGAGUCGAGUUGUUUGGGAAUGCAGCUCUAAGUGGGUGGUAAAUUCCAUCUAAAGCUAAAUAUUGGCGAGAGACCGAUAGCGAACAAGUACAGUGAUGGAAAGAUGAAAAGAACUUUGAAAAGAGAGUGAAAAAGUACGUGAAAUUGUUGAAAGGGAAGGGCUUGAGAUCAGACUUGGUAUUUUGUAUGUUACUCUCUCGGGGGUGGCCUCUACAGUUUACCGGGCCAGCAUCAGUUUGGGCGGUAGGACAAUUGCAAAGAAAUGUGGCACUGCCUCGGUAGUGUGUUAUAGUCUUUGUCGAUACUGCCAGCCUAGACUGAGGACUGCGGCUUCGGCCUAGGAUGUUGGCAUAAUGAUCUUAAGUCGCCCGUCUUGAAACACGGA